rnacentral:rRNA from 1 species
GGUGAACCUGCGGAAGGAUCAUUAUCGUACCAAAUGUGUCAGGCAUGCUCGGGCUGUUGCUGACUCAAAAAGUCGUGCACGCUGGAGGGUGUCCUCUCACAUAAUAAUCCAUCUCACCCUUUGUGCAUCACCGCGUGGGCACCCUUUGGGAUCGGACCGAUCUCGGAAGGGGGCCCGCGUUUUCACACAAACCCCCCCAUCUAAAAGUGUAGAAUGUCCUCAUUUAUGCAAUAAAUACAACUUUCAACAACGGAUCUCUUGGCUCUCGCAUCGAUGAAGAACGCAGCGAAAUGCGAUACGUAAUGUGAAUUGCAGAAUUCAGUGAAUCAUCGAAUCUUUGAACGCACCUUGCGCCCCUUGGUAUUCCGAGGGGCACACCCGUUUGAGUGUCGUGAAAAUCUCAACCUCCUUGGUUUCUUCUGGAGACCGAUGGGGGCUUGGACAUUGGAGGCCUUUGCUGGUGUCUCUCUUGAAGGGCCCAGCUCCUCUUAAAUGAAUUAGCGGGGUCCUCUUUGCCGAUCCUUGACAUGUGAUAAGAUGUUUCCGUGUCUUGGUCUCUGGCUCUGUUGCUUUUGGGACCCGCUUCUAAUCGUCUCAACCUUGCAUCGAGACAAACGUCUGAGCGUGGCUCCCUUCCCUGGGAAACUCUCUCGACCUCACGAACCCUUGACCUCAAACGGG